GGAAACUGGGUUUGGAGGUGUUUCAACUCAUGCCAUCAUACCAUUUACAAGAAAUACCCAAACAUGUGAGUGUGAACCUGACAGAGGUGGGAGUAACUCACACAUGUGCAAGCCACAAACAACUGAGCAGACAGGAAACUGGGUUUGGAGGUGUUUCAACUCAUGCAUAAUAUCAUACCAUUUACAAGAAAUACCCAAACAUGUGAGUGUGAACCUAACAGAGGAGGGAGUAACUCACACAUGUGCAAGCCACAAGGGUCGCCACAGCGAAUCAUCUCUCUCCACCUAACCCUAUCUUCUGCAUCCUCAACACUUGCACCCACUAGCUUCAAAUCCUCAUUAAUUACAUCCAUAUACCUCCUCUUUGGCCUUCCUCUUUGCCUCCUGCCUGGCAGCUCCAUGUCCAACAUUCUCCUACCAAUAUACUCACUCUCCCUCCUCUGAACAUGUCCAAACCAUCUUAAUCUCGCCUCCCUAACUUUGUCCCCCAAACGUCCAACAUGGGCUGUCCCUCUGAUGUACUCGUUCCUAAUCCUGUCCAAUCUUGUCACACCCAAAGAGAACCUCAACAUCUUCAGCUCGGCUACCUCUAGCUCUGACUCCUGUCUCUUCUUCAGUGUCACUGUCUCUAAACCAUACAGCACGGCCGGUCUCACCACUGUCCUGUACACCUUCCCCUUGAUUCUUGCUGAUAUUUUCCUAUCACACAGAACUCCUGACACCUUUCUCCACUCGCUCCAACCUGCCUGCACUCGCUUCUUUACUUCUUUCCCACUCUCUCCAUUACUCUGUUGACUGUUGACCCCAAGUACUUAAACUCCUGUACCUUCUUCACCUCUUCACCCUGUAACCUUACUAUUCCACUUCCCUCCCUUUCAUUCACACACAUGUACUCAGUCUUACUACGACUGACUUUCAUUCCUCUUCUCUCCAGCGCAAACCUCCACCUCUCCAGG